rnacentral:rRNA from 2 species
CCGGCCUGAGAGGGCGACCGGCCACACUGGGACUGAGACACGGCCCAGACUCCUACGGGAGGCAGCAGUGGGGAAUAUUGCACAAUGGGCGAAAGCCUGAUGCAGCGACGCCGCGUGAGGGAUGACGGCCUUCGGGUUGUAAACCUCUUUCAGCAGGGAAGAAGCGAAAGUGACGGUACCUGCAGAAGAAGCGCCGGCUAACUACGUGCCAGCAGCCGCGGUAAUACGUAGGGCGCAAGCGUUGUCCGGAAUUAUUGGGCGUAAAGAGCUCGUAGGCGGCUUGUCACGUCGGAUGUGAAAGCCCGGGGCUUAACCCCGGGUCUGCAUUCGAUACGGGCUAGCUAGAGUGUGGUAGGGGAGAUCGGAAUUCCUGGUGUAGCGGUGAAAUGCGCAGAUAUCAGGAGGAACACCGGUGGCGAAGGCGGAUCUCUGGGCCAUUACUGACGCUGAGGAGCGAAAGCGUGGGGAGCGAACAGGAUUAGAUACCCUGGUAGUCCACGCCGUAAACGUUGGGAACUAGGUGUUGGCGACAUUCCACGUCGUCGGUGCCGCAGCUAACGCAUUAAGUUCCCC